CAGAGAUGAGAGAUUGAGAGAGAUCAAAGAGAAGAGAGAUCGAAGAGAGAGUUUCAGAGGGAGAGAUUGAGAGUGAGAUCGGGAGAGUUGAGGGAGAUGGAGCCCGAUCCUCCGGUGGGUGAUGCCGACGAGACCAAAGAACGCCGACAACGCGAUCUCCGGUGAGCCAACGACCCGUAGACCCGAUGCAACCGCCGAUCCAUGAGACUCGAAAGAGAGAACCCUAGCAACCCGAACCCGUGACCCGCUGAACCCGAGAAGAGACCCGGUUCUCCAUGUGUGUUUUCCGGCGACUUUUCCAACGAAAACAGUGACAAUUUCUGGUGGAUUCUUGAGUAAAAUCCCCAAGGCUUGUGUCGUGAUUGGAGACGUAGACCUGUUCUCUAAUGUAGAGUUCAAGUAAUGAGAACAUGGGGAGUAUUCGAGUCAAGAGUCCAAUGCAGCCAAGUGUACUGCUGAAACAAGGAUGCCAUAUUUAUCCAGAGUUUUCCAGAAUAUUCAAAGUUUAAUUCUCAACUAUGGAAAGGCCUUAAUAUGACAAGUAUCAGUGUCACAAGCAUCAAGAAGGCAAUUUCUAGACUCCAAGAAGAUUUUACGUAGUUUACAACUCAGCAAAAAUCGGAUCCCCAGUUGAUCAUCCAGACAGCCCAGUGAAGCAUCCGGACGCUCCUCAGUAUUUGAGAAGAUUCUGAACAGCUCAGCAGACAUGUCGGUGAAGACAGGGUGAAGACAGCAAGCAACCAUCUAGACUCUAGGCAACACCGUCUGGACGCUAUUCAAAGUUUGAGAAGAUUCUGAACAGCUUAACACACACUUGGUGAAGACAACUUGCUACCGUUCGGACGCUAGGGCGACAUCGUCCAGACGCCGAGACUGAAGCUUAGUAAGGAAACGCGUGAAGCGCGUUAUGGAAGUCAGUUGCUACUUGCUGUCUAGACACCCUCAGUAUAGGUCUGGAAGCCACCCAAAGAACUCCGAAUCAAUGUUUUAUUAGAUCUUCAAAAGCUUAAAAAUAGAGGUCUCUAGGCUUGUAUUAUUUAUAGAAUUCAGUAAUGAAUUCCUUUAUACUAAGAGAGGGUGUUUAGGCAGAGAUUAUGAUAUGUGCUAGCUCUCUUAGGGUGAUUCAUGUGUGAUUUGAUCAGCUUUGAAGUCUAGCUUGGGGAGGAGCCCUAAGCUAAAGGAUUCCAUUGAAGACCCCUUCAGGUAGGAGACCUGGGUGGGAGGUAUUCACGUUGGGUUACGUGUCAGAGUUCAAGAUACAACCACAGCAUCAAGGGUAUGUGAGUGUUACUGCUUUGUAACUAGCUUUGUCUUCUGAAUAGUGGAUAUACUGGGUUGGGCCGCCCGGGAGUGGUUUAUCUCUUAAUUGAGUUUCCACUUCGUUAACAAAAUAUAUGUCUUCUUUAAAUUCUGCAUUUA